CAAUCGACUGAUUCAAACCUGUAGAAGACAGGACAUUUAUUUUAUUUUGCAUAAAACAAACUGCAAUUCAACAACUUGCAAUAUACAGUAAAAAAAAUCCCCUCUGUUCCAGUCAGAUCACACCAGCCUGGCAUGGGAUGCUGCAACUUGCUUGCUGGAUGAGCAAGGAACAUUAUGAGAAUCAAGGCUUUAUGGAAACUAUCAAGAAUCCAAUAAUGCUGGCCAGGCACACCCUGAGAGAUGACUGAGUCUUGGGCUGUCAUAAUGACAACUUGAUCUUGGAUUUCUGUACUUUGUACAAAUACAUAUAUUUUUGGUCAAAAUCUGUUAUUUUUAUAUAAUUUUCCUUCUCUGAAACAUAAAAGUAAUAUCAAAAAUCAAAUACAUCAUUUCAUUUUUUCCUGAUUAGUACUAGGGGACAUCUAUUCAGUAGUACCUUGCACAUUGUCUGGCAGGUUAAAUGUGGAAUACUGCAGCCAGUAUUGUGCUGAGAAAUGCCUGGGUCCUACUGCGUAGAAGCCAUUUCAACCCCAAGGUCCACCAGUAAAUGUUCCAGAUAUAAAUUAAAGUGGAUAUUCUAUUAAAACACCCCUUUCGAGUUACUGCAGUAUCAAGUAUGUGCAAUAUCAGGUUUGAUUUAUUUAAAUAAAGGGGAGGCAUAAGAAAAUGAAAUGGAACCCAUCAUUAGGAAGAAGAAAAUAUUAUAAAUACAGAGAUAAGGUGCUAAUAACAGAGAACAAUAUGGUAUUAAUAUGGUGAGUAAGAGGUAAUAAUGGAAGAAAUAAGAAUUUGAAAGGUAAUAUGGAAGCAUGGCCAUCCUUUAGGGUGUUUGUGAGCAGUCACAUGGGGCAGUAUAAGUGCUGGUUCCAUAUUCUUCUAGAGACAUGCUUGAAACACACAAAUUACAUUAAAUGAGUAUUUUUCGAUAUCAUCCUCUAGGUGUGCACUGAAAGCCAAGAUACUGUAGUGAUUUUUCAAGCAGACAGUAGAUAAAGGGACCACUGUGAUUAUACUUAUUUUAUUCUUAUUCUGCCUUACUAAUAGUCGAUGGGCAGUCAGUGCACUAUGUUGUUUGGAAGUUAAAGAGAGCAUGUGAAAGUUCAAGCAGAAAAAAAGAAGAGAAUGAUUAUAAUGAUAGGCAGGGGUUCUAAGAAAAAAUAAAGGAGAGAUAGAGAAAUUAAGAGAUGGAAAUAAUUUAAAAAUAAUACAUAAACACAUAGAAUGUAAGUAAUGGUAAAUUCUAAGGGAGAAAGCUGAUAAACUGAAAAAAAAAUUGUUCUUGUGUGGUACAUGGUAAAGUAUAGAUGGAACCAUAAGGUGCAGUUUAUUACAAUGCCAAGAAGCUAUUUACUAUUUAUACAAGGUCUGGCUACUGCAUUUCCCAGAGAGCUCAUAUUCCCUACUAUAAGUUUAAGUCAGAAUCAUUGGGGGGGGAAAGGGGGUUUUAGAGCGUGAAUGGGUCAGUGAUUCACUUAAAGAGUCAAUGUAAACAACAUAUAAUAGGUUAUGCCAUUUAGCUCAUGACUGCUUUAUGUUUAAUUUAAAAUGAGACAUCCAUAAGAUCAUAUAUAGUUAUACCUUAAUGGUCCAGUCAGCAAACAAUGUCCUUACACAGGUGAAUGUUUUAUAUCAGGGUUGUCUAGGUGUCCAGGGUCAAAUGCUGACCCCUAAAGGAUUUUUAUGGUCCCAGCCUGCUCAAAAGAUUUGGAAACUGGAAUCAAUUGUUUAUUCUGUGUAUAGUAACAUUUGUAAUUAUAUAUUGAAAUUAAAAUAUUUCCUUGGACUCUUA